AGCAGCCGCGGUAAUUCCAGCUCCAAUAGCGUAUAUUAAAGUUGUUGCAGUUAAAAAGCUCGUAGUUGAAUUUCGGGAUCAAUACGUCGGUCGUGCUUCGGUACGUACUGGCAUCAUUGAUUUCUCCCUUCUGACGAACCAUGAUGUCAUUAACUUGGUGUCAUGGGAAAUCAGGACUGUUACUUUGAAAAAAUUAGAGUGUUUAAAGCAGGCUCACGCUUGAAUACAUUAGCAUGGAAUAAUGAAAUAGGACGUUCGAACCUAUUUUGUUGGUUUUUAGGAUCAACGUAAUGAUUAAUAGGGAUAGUUGGGGGCAUUAGUAUUCAAUUGUCAGAGGUGAAAUUCUUGGAUUUAUUGAAGACUAACUACUGCGAAAGCAUUUGCCAAGGAUGUUUUCAUUAAUCAAGAACGAAAGUUAGGGGAUCGAAGACGAUCAGAUACCGUCGUAGUCUUAACCAUAAACUAUGCCGACUAGGGAUCGGAUGAUGUUAAUUAUUUAAUGACUCAUUCGGCGCCUUACG
rnacentral:rRNA from 1 species